rnacentral:tRNA from 1 species
GUUAGCUCAGUUGGUAGAGCAGUUGACUUUUAAUCAAUUGGUCGCAGGUUCGAAUCCUGCACGACCCA